rnacentral:rRNA from 1 species
UACGGAGGGGACUAGCGUUGUUCGGAAUUACUGGGCGUAAAGCGCACGUAGGCGGAUUUGUAAGUCAGGGGUGAAAUCCCGGGGCUCAACCUCGGAACUGCCUUUGAUACUGCAAAUCUCGAGUCCGGAAGAGGUGAGUGGAAUUCCUAGUGUAGAGGUGAAAUUCGUAGAUAUUCGGAAGAACACCAGUGGCGAAGGCGGCUCACUGGCCCGGUGCUGACGCUGAGAUGCGAAAGCGUGGGGAGCAAACAGG